rnacentral:rRNA from 1 species
GGUUAAGCGACUAAGCGUACACGGUGGAUGCCCUGGCAGUCAGAGGCGAUGAAGGACGUGCUAAUCUGCGAUAAGCGUCGGUAAGGUGAUAUGAACCGUUAUAACCGGCGAUUUCCGAAUGGGGAAACCCAGUGUGAUUCGUCACACUAUCAUUAACUGAAUCCAUAGGUUAAUGAGGCGAACCGGGGGAACUGAAACAUCUAAGUACCCCGAGGAAAAGAAAUCAACCGAGAUUCCCCCAGUAGCGGCGAGCGAACGGGGAGCAGCCCAGAGCCUGAAUCAGUGUGUGUGUUAGUGGAAGCGUCUGGAAAGGCGCGCGAUACAGGGUGACAGCCCCGUACACAAAAAUGCACAUGCUGUGAGCUCGAUGAGUAGGGCGGGACACGUGGUAUCCUGUCUGAAUAUGGGGGGACCAUCCUCCAAGGCUAAAUACUCCUGACUGACCGAUAGUGAACCAGUACCGUGAGGGAAAGGCGAAAAGAACCCCGGCGAGGGGAGUGAAAAAGAACCUGAAACCGUGUACGUACAAGCAGUGGGAGCCUC